GAAUGCAAUCAUAGCAGCACUAAUGCACCAGAUCCCAACAGAACUCCGCACUUAAGCGUGCUUUGGCGAGAGUAGUACUAGCAUGGGUGACCACCUGGAAAGUCCUCGUGUUGCAUCCC
rfam:Arabidopsis thaliana chromosome 3, complete sequence.